GGAUUGGGCUCGGGAGAGGUGGCGCAGGGGUUAACUAUGGGAAUCCAAUGACUUUGCAAGGGCUUGGGGCUCGCCAGGAUGGACGACUAUCUUCAAUGCCCGGAAAUGGAUCAGUUGGCACUGGCUUGCCACCCUACUAUGGGCGCUAGGUAUCUCAUUUCUGAUGGUUGAUUUCUCAGAUUAUGUUACCUGCUUCACUUUUUAAGCUCCGG
rnacentral:misc_RNA from 1 species